AACAGCAAUUGAAAAACAUCAAGCAGUGAAACCAUCAGACAACAAAAACAGCAGCAUAACCAAGCAUAGCUGGGGCUCCGCAUACGCUGCUUCCUUUCACAAAGAAAUAGUUAAAGAAAUUUUACUUCACGCUCCGUCGAAACAGAUGCAGAUGCGCUGGGUUAACUAAACAUAACACUUUACGUAACAAAGAUAAAAAAAAAAAAGUAAAUAAUGCUGAAAUAAAAAUUUUAAAUAGAAACACCGCUAUAGUAAUAAACCCAUAAAUUAUUUAAGUGAAAAUUGCAAAAAUCAUUAACUCAUGAAGUCAAAAGUCCAGUAUUCAAUAAAAUCGAUAAAGUUUUGCAAAUGUAGUGUAAAAUUUUUUUUUGUAAAAUUUACAAUCAAAGCAAUAUUUUAACAAAAGAAACAAGAAAAACGACCGAACAAAACAAAAGAGAGCUGGGAGAGUAUCCUCUAACAAUACAACACAAAAAAAAAAAUAAAUAAAUAAAUAAAAUAAAAAGCGCACAAAUACUUAAUAUAGGUAAACCCUUAUCUACCGGCUAUAAAAUAUUUAACAACUUUCAACAACAAAAACAAUAAACAGCAAACAAAACAGUUGCAGUCCCAGAGUUUCAGUUGUAUCCUCACUUAAACAAUAUGAAAAGCAAUAAAUAAAAAAAAAAAAAAAAAAAA